CCUACGGGAGGCAGCAGUGAGGAAUAUUGGUCAAUGGGAGAGAUCCUGAACCAGCCAAGCCGCGUGAGGGAAGACGGCCCUAUGGGUUGUAAACCUCUUUUGUCGGAGCACAAAACCCGGGACGUGUCCCGGACUGCGUGUAUCCGAAGAAAAAGCAUCGGCUAACUCCGUGCCAGCAGCCGCGGUAAUAAGGAGGAUGCGAGCGUUAUCCGGAUUUAUUGGGUUUAAAGGGUGCGUAGGCGGUCCGUUAAGUCAGCGGGAAAAUUGCGGGGCUCAACCCCGUCAAGCCGUUGAAACUGGCAGACUUGAGUUGGCGAGAAGUACGCGGAAUGCGCGGUGUAGCGGUGAAAUGCAUAGAUAUCGCGCAGAACUCCGAUUGCGAAGGCAGCGUACCGGCGCCAGACUGACGCUGAGGCACGAAAGCGUGGGGAUCGAACAGGAUUAGAUACCCCAGUAGUC
rnacentral:rRNA from 1 species